UGAGGAAUAUUGGUCAAUGGCCGGAAGGCUGAACCAGCCAUCCCGCGUGCAGGAUGACGGCCCUAUGGGUUGUAAACUGCUUUUGUACCUGAAGAAACCUGUUUACGAGUAGACAGUUGCCGGUAAGGUAUGAAUAAGCAUCGGCUAACUCCGUGCCAGCAGCCGCGGUAAUACGGAGGAUGCAAGCGUUAUCCGGAUUCAUUGGGUUUAAAGGGUGCGCAGGUGGGAAAAUAAGUCAGUGGUGAAAUACUGCCGCUUAACGGUAGAAUUGCCAUUGAUACUGUUUUUCUUGAGUAUGGUUGAGGUAGGUGGAAUGUGUUGUGUAGCGGUGAAAUGCAUAGAUAUGACACAGAACGCCGAUUGCGAAGGCAGCUUACUAAGCCAUUACUGACGCUGAGGC
rnacentral:rRNA from 1 species